rnacentral:rRNA from 1 species
ACGAAGGGGGCUAGCGUUGCUCGGAAUGACUGGGCGUAAAGGGCGCGUAGGCGGAUGGCACAGUCAGAUGUGAAAUUCCCGGGCUUAACCUGGGGGCUGCAUUUGAUACGUGUGAUCUAGAGUGAGGAAGAGGGUCGUGGAAUUCCCAGUGUAGAGGUGAAAUUCGUAGAUAUUGGGAAGAACACCGGUGGCGAAGGCGGCGACCUGGUCCUUGACUGACGCUGAGGCGCGAAAGCGUGGGGAGCAAACAGGAUUAGAUACCCUGGUAGUCCACGCUGUAAACGAUGUGUGCUGGAUGUUGGGCGACCUAGUCGCUCAGUGUCGUAGCUAACGCGAUAAGCACACCGCCUGGGGAGUACGGCCGCAAGGUUG